rnacentral:ncRNA from 2 species
CAGAUGCGCGCCGUUCCAGGUGUCUCACGCCGCCGCGCGUGAGGUGAAACGGGAAGCCGGUGCGUCCAUCAGGACCAGUCCGGCGCUGCCCCCGCAACGGUAAGCGAGCGCUGCAUUCGAUACGCCACUGUGCCCACGGCAUGGGAAGGCGAAUGCGGCGUGAUCCUCGCAAGCCCGGAGACCGGCCUGGAGCAUCGAUAGGCA